GAUCACACGUCCCGUCUUUGGAUAAACUGGAUAUUUCAACUGGCCUACGAACUUAUGAAAAUUCUGACGAAGAAGAUGAGACAUCUAGUGGAUUUAAACAUGUUUUAAAGAAAAUUUAUGGUGCGUUCUGCUGAACAAAUAUCCCUUUUUAUUAUCACUAAAUUUGUUUUUUUUUGUUCAAAUUAUCUUGUUACGAUCUUUAUUUAGUUAUUUACUCCCUUUUCGAGAUUUUGUUUGCCGUUUACACGUGUCUCAACAAACUUGAUAUACUUACGAUAUCUUCCCGAAAAACUUUCUGACCAUCUAGUUGAGUUUGUUUAGCAAGCACUGUAAUUGUAAUAACAAAAUAAAAAAAACCUAAGAUGUCGUACGUAUACUAAGAAAACGUACUUAUUUAUCAAUCCUAAAUUAUUACUAAUGAAAAGCACGGUUUGUGAAAGUACAAUUCCUACAUUGACCAUUUUCCUUGUCAGAGUUUGAACGCUAAAUUACAAAUCAAGUAACAAUACGGAUAUCUUAUAAGUUGUCAAUAGUAAAUAACUAUCACCUAUUCGGUCCAGAGGUAUUCAAAUUUCUUUCAAUUAAUCGGUCCAACAAGGCAAAUUUUCUACCCAGCUCCCCUCCAAUACACUUCUUCAAAAGGCAUUUUUCCAUGCCGAUGGUCGUAAACAAAAGGUGUGUGUACUAUGCUGUAUUUUAGAAAGGACUAUAUGGUUUCCUGGAUAUCACUGUUCGUCCUAAAAGAAUGUGUUAGACUCUUAAUUGUGAAAACUCGAAAGAAUGUAGUCACCGUUCUCAAGUCGGAAUAUUAACCACCUUUCGAACUUCUAUAAUAAGUUCACAGCUAUUAUUAUUCAGGAGUAGAUUUGAAAACUAAUCUCUAUGAACUGCGAAAUUGUGGACAAUCAAACCACUUACCCUUCGAUUACUGCUGUAGAGCUUAUUCCAUGCCAUUUUAUUUGACUCAUAUUGAGGGGUCGGAUCCCAAACUCUGAUUGGCGCUGUCUUUUAUGUGACAAAAUUUACUUGUUAACAAAUUUAAAUUUCUUACUCAUUGCCGCAUUUCCUAGGUUUCGCAGAAACAACCUAAGAUACGGAAAAUCUACGAUCUUUUGAGUGAAUUUGCUAGCUAACUUUUAGAAAAGAAAAAUUGUACCCAAAUGUAAUUGAGUAACCAUGUAUAUGAAAUAAUCCAAAUAACCGGCAAUCAUUACUUAAAUUACCGCAGUGUAUUUCAGCAAAGG